AUUGAACGCUGGCGGCAGGCCUAACACAUGCAAGUCGAGCGGAUGAAGGGAGCUUGCUCCUGGAUUCAGCGGCGGACGGGUGAGUAAUGCCUAGGAAGCUACCUGGUAGUGGGGGAUAACGUCCGGACACGGGCGCUAAUACCGCAUACGUCCUGAGGGAGAAAGUGGGGGAUCUUCGGACCUCACGCUAUCAGAUGAGCCUAGGUCGGAUUAGCUAGUUGGUGGGGUAAAGGCCUACCAAGGCGGCGAUCCGUAACGGGUCUGAGAGGAGGAUCAGUCACACUGGAACUGAGACACGGUCCAGACUCCUACGGGAGGCAGCAGUGGGGAAUAUUGGACAAUGGGCGAAAGCCUGAUCCAGCCAUGCCGCGUGUGUGAAGAAGGUCUUCGGAUUGUAAAGCACUUUAAGUUGGGAGGAAGGGCAGUAAGUUAAUAUCUUGCUGUGUUGACGUUACCAACAGAAUAAGCACCGGCUAACUUCGUG
rnacentral:rRNA from 1 species